GCGUAACGCGUAUGCAACCUACCCUGUACUGGGGAAUAGCCCGAAGAAAUUCGGAUUAACACCCCAUAGUAUCCUGAUACGGCAUCGUUGUCAGGAUUAAAGGUUACGGUACAGGAUGGGCAUGCGUCCUAUUAGCUAGAUGGUAAGGUAACGGCUUACCAUGGCUACGAUAGGUAGGGGGCCUGAGAGGGUGAUCCCCCACACUGGUACUGAGACACGGACCAGACUCC
rnacentral:rRNA from 1 species